UCUUCCAUAGCUCAGUUGGUAGAGCGUGCGACUGUUAAUCGCAAGGUCAUCGGUUCGACCCCGGUUGGAAGAG
rnacentral:tRNA from 2 species